rnacentral:rRNA from 1 species
UGCUCUGUGGAUCAGUGGCGAACGGGUGAGUAACACGUGAGCAACCUGCCCCUGACUCUGGGAUAAGCGCUGGAAACGGCGUCUAAUACUGGAUAUGAGCUGCGAUCGCAUGGUCAGCAGUUGGAAAGAUUUUUCGGUCUGGGAUGGGCUCACGGCCUAUCAGCUUGUUGGUGAGGUAAUGGCUCACCAAGGCGUCGACGGGUAGCCGGCCUGAGAGGGUGACCGGCCACACUGGGACUGAGACACGGCCCAGACUCCUACGGGAGGCAGCAGUGGGGAAUAUUGCACAAUGGGCGAAAGCCUGAUGCAGCAACGCCGCGUGAGGGAUGACGGCCUUCGGGUUGUAAACCUCUUUUAGCAGGGAAGAAGCGAAAGUGACGGUACCUGCAGAAAAAGCGCCGGCUAACUACGUGCCAGCAGCCGCGGUAAUACGUAGGGCGCAAGCGUUAUCCGGAAUUAUUGGGCGUAAAGAGCUCGUAGGCGGUUUGUCGCGUCUGCUGUGAAAUCCCGAGGCUCAACCUCGGGUCUGCAGUGGGUACGGGCAGACUAGAGUGCGGUAGGGGAGAUUGGAAUUCCUGGUGUAGCGGUGGAAUGCGCAGAUAUCAGGAGGAACACCGAUGGCGAAGGCAGAUCUCU